CCCAAUAUCUAAAAGUAAAUAUAAAUAUAUUUUUUUCGUCCAAUUAUUUAUAUAUAUAACUAAUUAUAUAUAUAUAAAAAUAUGACUAACCUACUAUACUAUUAAUAGCAUCAAAUUAUUUGUACUAUUAAUUUGUUCUUGGAUGAAGAGAUAUGCAGUUAGAAUGAUAAUAAUUCUUUAGGAUUGAGAGGGUGGUUGUUUAAAUAAUAUAAUUUAAUAGAUAAAAAUGAUUAAAUGAGUAAAUCUAAUAGCAAAAAAUUUGAUAGCGCUAAAUACUUGGUACUAUUGAUAAUAUAAUAGCCGGACUAUAC
rnacentral:lncRNA from 1 species